GGGUAGCUAAUACCGCAUACGACCUGAGGGUAGAAAGCGGGGGACCGAAAGGCCUCGCGCGAUGGGAGCGGCCGAUGCCGGAUUAGCUAGUUGGUAGGGUAAAGGCCUACCAAGGCGACGAUCCGUAGCUGGUCUGAGAGGACGACCAGCCACACUGGAACUGAGACACGGUCCAGACUCCUACGGGAGGCAGCAGUGGGGAAUUUUGGACAAUGGGCGAAAGCCUGAUCCAGCCAUUCCGCGUGAGUGAAGAAGGCCUUCGGGUUGUAAAGCUCUUUCGGCAGGAACGAAACGGUGAAGGCUAAUAACCUUUACUAAUGACGGUACCUGAAGAAGAAGCACCGGCUAACUACGUG
rnacentral:rRNA from 1 species